rnacentral:lncRNA from 1 species
AGUGCUCAUUGCACGAACGUAUUACGCCAUCUCUCGUAAGCGAAACGACGAGUCAUGAUCGGUCAUGAAAGAGUACUAGGCGCUUCGUCUAAACAACACCGGAAGUUGAUGACGUCCGUUCCUGAGUCAAGAUACCGUUUGGCACCGUUUCAAACCGAUAGCCCAUUUCCUGGUGAACAAUACCAAACCUUAUCUAACAAACAAAGUAAAAAACAUUUUUGAUGAUUAAUCAUCGCUAUUGUCUUCCUAUUAAAUCCACCCACGAAAAGACCACAGCAAUUGGAACGGAUUCAUAAACGAUUUAUUAGUCAUCAGAGAUGUCGAAGAGGCCAUUACAAAGUUCUGAUUGAAGAAAAUGAAGUCAAGUUUCUAGUCAGCAGUUUGUUGAAGAAGAAAGUAUAAGGAAAGCUUAGAUAGAGUAGAGAAGGGGUGAUAUGAUAAGAGGGAGGGGAAGAGGAUAGAGUACACUGCCGUUAGGAAGUCUUUCACCAAGUAUUUUCGGAGCAAAGACUUCCCGGUGCAGAGAUCUUCGUCAGGUCGAGUCUUACAAAUUGCGGCACGGGUGCAACGUACCUGUUGUUUACCACAUAGCGGGUUCAAAGCCCGGUCAGUACAACGGUCCUUUCCUUCCUUCCUUACCCUGCUCAACUCUCUUCUGUCUCUGUUUUUCUCCCCACCGUCGAAGAUAUAAAGAAAGAGAGAGAGACAAACAGAAAGACAGAAAGAAAGAGAAUCAGCAAGCAAGUAGAAAAGAGAAGAUCAUCCAUCGUGUAGUCCAGCAAGGCAAUGCAAGGCUGAGAAAGAAAGGAUAAAGAGAAAGAGAGAGAGAGAGUUGGUAGUAGGCCGUUCUUCCAACUCUUCUUCGAGGAAGCUCAACACCAGAAGCCGUUCUCGUCUCGUCUGCAAAAUGGUAUGGACGAACUGACGCGUCCAGGAGUUCCUCUUCAUCCUUUUUUCGCUCCUUCUCUCUCUCUCUCUCUCUCUCUCUCUCUCCUUUUAUCUUCAGUAGAGAGAGAGAGAGAGAGAGAGAGGAAUAAGUUUUUUCUAACAGCAUCAGCAACAUCAGUUAGAAGUAGAAGUAGGUACCACCUGUUCAGUAUCAAUAUACCUGGCAGGGGGUACACUGGACUUUUCCUGGAUAACGGAACCAACUUAGAAAUCUGUUAUAAAUCCGUUUGAUUCAUAUUUCAAGAACACUUAUCUUUUAGCACAUGGAUAUAUGAUAUAGCAAAGAAAAGAAGAUAACGUUUGAAAAGUCCGAAGAGGAAGGGUUGAGGAUAUAAGACAUACAGGAAGGGAAAGAGAAACGAAAACGAUGAAAGUAGGGUUGAUAGUGAACCCGAUGCUCCGAAGAAGAGGACCGGAUUGGCCAAUCCGGCCAAGCUCCGUACUACGGCGUAGUACUCCAGAGGGACCAGGGUUCAAAGCCCGGUCAACACCAUGUCCAUACUUCUUUCUCUCUCUCUUUCGUUUCCCCCCACUCAAGUUCUUCUGUUUUCUUCUGUUCGUGUAUCUCUCCUCUCGGCCAUUUCACGAACACAAACCUCUCGGCAAUAACACAACACGCAAACUGGGAUCACUCUUCUCUUCCUCCUUCUCCUCCUGUUUCUCUCCCCCUCUUCUUCUUCUCCUUCUUCUUCUUCUUCUUCGAGUCUUGCUCCUCUUUGCCCUGAGGCUGUUGUAUUCGGGCUCUGCUGGUGAUUCACCAUCGGCCGAAGAUAAGAGGCCAAUAAAAAGAGUGCGAUUCAGAGCGAAUGGAUGCGGGGAGGGACUAAGGGAUCGGAAGGGAGAGAGAGAAAAGGGUAGAGACACAAGGGGAAAGGAAAGGGAUGACUACGUGAUCCGCAUCACGGUGGACCAAAAGGUUCCUGGUUGUGAAUUCAAUAAAUUAUUCAUAUUUCAAGAAACGUACACUGAACGACGAGGAAGCUGCGUAUCCAUGAAUAAUAUCGAAGAUAGAAAUAUCUAUGUGCUCGUACACCAAGAAGGAGUCUCUGCAAAUAUCAGACACACAAGUUGGCAUGGGAAUUUAGAAACCGGAUCGAGUAAAGCAACCCAGUCUCUCACAUAGCAACAAGGAAACCUCUUAAAGAAUUUCCAUCAUGGUUUCUAUGUCCGAGUCGUAAAUCGAAGAGGAGUUCGGUUGAGCUAGGAAAAGUCUUGUCCUCCCUCCGUAGUUGUUCAACAUUGUGGGAAGACCACCGCCAAGAACUUUUUCCUGGAUAUCUUCUUCUUGCAACACAGCAUUUAGUAUACUAGUUGAAAGUAAUAGAAAUAUAUUAUUACAACAGUUCUACAUUGAUGAAUUGUUAGGAAGAACAAAAUCGAACAGACCAUAAGAAAGGACAUUUGGACAUGGACAAAAUAUAAUCAGUCGUCAUGUAAGACACUUUGUAUGACGGUAGCUCGACGAAAAACUUUCCUUUUGAAGCGUGCUACCCUCCUAAAGGUCAAUGAUCGAAAAAUGACCUGCAUCUCUUCGUGCAGCUCCCCUCUACUUCUACUUCUUUUUCUUUUUCUUCUACUUCUCCUUCUUCUUCUCUUUGAAGUACGACGUAGCACAAAACAUGCAUCUUCUAAUGGUGCUUAACCCUUAAACGGUGAAACAAAGGGUUCCCUCUUCUUAGGAAUUCUAUGAAAAUGAUCUUGAAGGUUUAUAACGUUUUCUUGGAAUAUUAUUUUGAAGAACCUUGUGGCUCGUCGUUUAAUUUAAUAGAACUGUUAGCUCAAUUGCGGUUUUAAAGUAAUGAACUUCUUAAGGAAAAAAAAAAGAUUUUCAAGGCUCACAUCUAUUUAAUCCUUUUAAAGACAUAAAAAGAGAAAAGAUAAUAUCGUGUGAAAAGAGAAGAGAAGGGAAGAUAAAGGAUAGAAGAUAGAAAAAGAUGAGGCGAUAUCAAAGAAGAGAGACAGCCUAGAGAAAGAGAUACACGAGGUGAGGAAUAAGAAACUGUAAUUGCCAGGCAAUGACUUUGCUGCAGAAAUUGCUUCAGCGUCGCGUGGAAACGUUGGUGUUAAAGUAGCGUGGAGAGAAGCUCCUUUCUCUUUCUCUCUUUCUGAGAAACAGGAUAAAUCCGGAGAGAGAGAAAACGCUCCGGUACAAAGUACUGGAACUCGCACAAGAAAUUGUGGAACUGAGCUUCGCAAACGAAUAUUCGCGCGAUUAAGAAAAAGAGAAAGAAAAAGGAUAGAAAGAGAACGGGUAAAAUAAAAAUGAUGGGUUAAACAAA